rnacentral:rRNA from 1 species
UGGGUUAGUGGCGGACGGGUGAGUAACGCGUGGGUAACCUGCCUUACACAGGGGGAUAACACUUAGAAAUAGGUGCUAAAACCGCAUAAGCGCACAGCUUCGCAUGAAGCGGUGUGAAAAACUCCGGUGGUGUAAGAUGGACCCGCGUCUGAUUAGCUUGUUGGCGGGGUAACGGCCCACCAAGGCGACGAUCAGUAGCCGGCCUGAGAGGGCGGACGGCCACAUUGGGACUGAGACACGGCCCAGACUCCUACGGGAGGCAGCAG